rnacentral:rRNA from 1 species
GGGUAGGGGGUGGGUGGGGGGGGUGUAAGAGUUAGGGGGUGGGGGUUGAUGGGAGUGACUGGGCGGUGAGCGGGCGCAGGCGGGUUGGGCAGGCGGAUGUGAAAUCCCCGGGCGGAACCUGGGAAGGGCAGUUGGGAGUGAAAGGCUGGAGUGCGGCAGAGGAGGCUGGAAUGCCUGGGGUAGCAGUGAAAUGCGUAGAUAUGAGGAGGAACACCGAUGGCGAAGGGAGGUCUCUGGGCGGACACUGACGCUCAUGCACGAAAGCGUGGGGAGCAAACAGGAUUAGAUACCCUGGUAGUC